rnacentral:lncRNA from 1 species
UUGAACCACCUUAUUAAUCAUUUGUUGUUGAGACGUUAUAUGUCAAACUCUAUUGUUUUGGAUGCUUAACUCACAUUAUUAGAUUUUGUUGGUUUUUAUGUUUGGUGAAACACGUGCGACACUCUAAGUGUUGAGUUAAAAUUGAAUUAUUUUACUAAAUGUUAAGCCAGGAAAUUAUGGUGUUACAUAGUUGGUAUCAUAGUAGGUCGCUCCAUCCGACAAGGUUGUGUUAUU